GAGUUUGAUCAUGGCUCAGGACGAACGCUGGCGGCGUGCUUAACACAUGCAAGUCGAACGAUGAAGCCUAGCUUGCUAGGUGGAUUAGUGGCGAACGGGUGAGUAAUACGUGAGUGACCUACCUUUGACUCUGGGAUAAGCCUGGGAAACUGGGUCUAAUACCGGAUACGACCAAUCUCCGCAUGGGGUGUUGGUGGAAAGCGUUAUGGAGUGGUUUUAGAUGGGCUCACGGCCUAUCAGCUUGUUGGUGAGGUAAUGGCUUACCAAGGCGACGACGGGUAGCCGGCCUGAGAGGGUGACCGGCCACACUGGGACUGAGACACGGCCCAGACUCCUACGGGAGGCAGCAGUGGGGAAUAUUGCACAAUGGGCGCAAGCCUGAUGCAGCGACGCCGCGUGAGGGAUGACGGCCUUCGGGUUGUAAACCUCUGUUAGCAUCGAAGAAGCGAAAGUGACGGUAGGUGCAGAGAAAGCGCCGGCUAACUACGUGCCAGCAGCCGCGGUAAUACGUAGGGCGCGAGCGUUGUCCGGAAUUAUUGGGCGUAAAGAGCUUGUAGGCGGUUGGUCGCGUCUGCUGUGAAAGGCUGGGGCUUAACCCUGGUUUUGCAGUGGGUACGGGCUAACUAGAGUGCAGUAGGGGAGACUGGAAUUCCUGGUGUAGCGGUGGAAUGCGCAGAUAUCAGGAGGAACACCGAUGGCGAAGGCAGGUCUCUGGGCUGUAACUGACGCUGAGAAGCGAAAGCAUGGGGAGCGAACAGGAUUAGAUACCCUGGUAGUCCAUGCCGUAAACGUUGGGCACUAGGUGUGGGGGACAUUCCACGUUUUCCGCGCCGUAGCUAACGCAUUAAGUGCCCCGCCUGGGGAGUACGGCCGCAAGGCUAAAACUCAAAGAAAUUGACGGGGGCCCGCACAAGCGGCGGAGCAUGCGGAUUAAUUCGAUGCAACGCGAAGAACCUUACCAAGGCUUGACAUAUACUGGACUGCGUCAGAGAUGGCGUUUCCCUUCGGGGCUGGUAUACAGGUGGUGCAUGGUUGUCGUCAGCUCGUGUCGUGAGAUGUUGGGUAAGUCCCGCAACGAGCGCAACCCUCGUUCUAUGUUGCCAGCACGUGAUGGUGGGGACUCAUAGGAGACUGCCGGGGUCAACUCGGAGGAAGGUGGGGAUGACGUCAAAUCAUCAUGCCCCUUAUGUCUUGGGCUUCACGCAUGCUACAAUGGCCGGUACAGAGGGUUGCGAUACUGUGAGGUGGAGCUAAUCCCUAAAAGCCGGUCUCAGUUCGGAUUGGGGUUCUGCAAACUCGACCCCAUGAAGUCGGAGUCGCUAGUAAUCGCAGAUCAAGCAACGCUGCGGUGAAUACGUUCCCGGGCCUUGUACACACCGCCCGUCA
rnacentral:rRNA from 1 species